rnacentral:rRNA from 1 species
CCGCUACGGGAGGCAGCAGUAGGGAAUAUUGGCAAUGGAGGCAACUCUGACCCAGCCAUGCCGCGUGCAGGAAGAAGGCGUUAUGCGUUGUAAACUGCUUUUAUAUAGGAAGAAAGAGUUCUUGCGAGAACAGUUGACGGUACUAUAUGAAUAAGCACCGGCUAACUCCGUGCCAGCAGCCGCGGUAAUACGGAGGGUGCAAGCGUUGUCCGGAUUUAUUGGGUUUAAAGGGUGCGUAGGCGGUUUAUUAAGUCAGUGGUGAAAGACGGUCGCUCAACGAUUGCAGUGCCAUUGAUACUGGUAGACUUGAGUGAGUUUGAGGUAGCUGGAAUGGAUAGUGUAGCGGUGAAAUGCAUAGAUAUUAUCCAGAACACCAAUUGCGUAGGCAAGUUACUAAGACUCAACUGACGCUGAGGCACGAAAGUGUGGGUAUCAAACAGGAUUAGAUACCC